CCCGAAGUGGCGGUUCGAGGCGGGUACGCAGUGCAGGGGCCUCUGUGGGCCCCGGACGCCGCCUGUGAAUACUGACAUUUUAAUCACGGUUAUACCAACGGUGACGUGUUACCGUGGAAGGAGUAUUUCUGAAACAAAUCCUUCCAUUGCUGAGCUCUGAAGAAAACAGAAUCUUCCGAAACCAAAAAAGAUGUGGGAGCUUGAAUCUAUAAAGUGUGAAAAAGGAUAUCAUGGGGGAACUGAGAGAAAAGGCACCAAGUACACCUUGGGGGAAAAUAAUGAAAUUCACUUCAGUUCAACAGUAAACUUAUUGAGCACAGAUGAAUGAGACCCUGCCUGUCCUAUGGGG